rnacentral:rRNA from 1 species
UGGGGAAUAUUGGACAAUGGGCGCAAGCCUGAUCCAGCCAUGCCGCGUGAGUGAUGAAGGCCCUAGGGUUGUAAAGCUCUUUCACCGGUGAAGAUAAUGACGGUAACCGGAGAAGAAGCCCCGGCUAACUUCGUGCCAGCAGCCGCGGUAAUACGAAGGGGGCUAGCGUUGUUCGGAUUUACUGGGCGUAAAGCGCACGUAGGCGGACUAUUAAGUCAGGGGUGAAAUCCCGGGGCUCAACCCCGGAACUGCCUUUGAUACUGGUAGUCUUGAGUUCGAGAGAGGUGAGUGGAAUUCCGAGUGUAGAGGUGAAAUUCGUAGAUAUUCGGAGGAACACCAGUGGCGAAGGCGGCUCACUGGCUCGAUACUGACGCUGAGGUGCCAAAGCGUGGGGAGCAAACAGG